CAGCGGCGGCGCUGCGGGAGCUCCGGCGGCCGCGAUCCUAAUGGCUGCGCGUGGGCCGCGGUGAGCGCGGGCGGAGAGCGACGGGCGUGGGGCUGCGGAGAGCGAGAGCGAGCGCGGCCGGACCCUGGCCAGGCCCCGCCCGACCGGCCGAGCCCGCGAUGCGCCCCGGGGUCGACCCCCGGCGCAGCUGACGCCGCGGCCCGCGGAGACCCCGGCCGGUCGGUCCCGGAGAGCGGCCACCCCGGCCCAGGCCGCGAUGGCGGGGAAGGCAGCCGCCCCGGGCACCGCGGUGCUGCUGGUCACGGCCAACGUGGGCUCGCUCUUCGACGACCCAGAAAACCUCCAGAAGAACUGGCUGCGGGAAUUUUAUCAGGUCGUCCACGCGCACAGGCCGCACUUCCUGGCCCUGCACUGCCAGGAGUUCGGGGGAAAGAACUAUGAAGCCUCCAUGUCGCACGUGGACAAGUUUGUCAGAGAACUUCUGUCCAGUGACGCGAUGAAAGAGUACACCAGGGCGCGGGUCUACCUGGAUGAAAACUUCAAGUCCCAGGAGCACUUCACGGCACUAGGAAGCUUUUACUUUCUUCACGAAUCCUUAAAAAACAUCUCCCAGUUUGACUUUAAAGCCAAGAAGUAUAAAAACGUCACUGGUAAGGAGAUCUACUCAGACACGCUGGAGAGCACGCCCAUGCUGGAAAAGGAGAAGUUCCCGCAGGACUACUUCCCCGAGUGCAAGUGGUCGAGGAAAGGCUUCGUCCGGACGAGGUGGUGCCUUGCGGACUGCGCCUUUGACUUGGUGAACAUCCAUCUUUUCCACGAUGCUUCCAACCUGGUUGCCUGGGAGACCAGCCCUUCUGUGUACUCGGGGAUCCGGCACAAGGCCCUGGGCUACGUGCUCGACAGAAUCAUUGACCAGCGAUUCGAGAAAGCGUCCUACUUUGUCUUUGGCGAUUUCAACUUCCGGCUGGAUUCCAAGUCCGUGGUGGAGACUCUCUGCACAAAGGCCACGAUGCAGACCGUGCGGGCCGCCGACACCAACGAAGUCGUGAAGCUGAUAUUCCGAGAGUCGGACAACGACCGGAAGGUGAUGCUCCAGCUUGAGAAGAAGCUCUUUGACUACUUCAACCAGGAGGUUUUCCGGGAUGACAACGGCACUGCGCUCUUAGAAUUUGACAAAGAGCUGUCUGUCUUUAAGGACAGACUGUAUGAACUGGACAUCUCGUUCCCUCCCAGAGUCCUGAAAUCCGCAGCAAUAACAGUGCGUUCCCUCCCGACCAGCCCGGGGCUGCAGAGGGCCGGGGUCGGGGGAGAGAGACGGUUACGAAGUGGCCAGGACACCAGGUGGGCGCUCGGCCCGCGGGCCUGUCUGGAAAGACACGGACGCCCCGUCACGGGCUUCUCCCACCCGUCUCUCUCCUUUCAUUGAUUCCAAGUAGAAAUUCUCAUCACUUGGGAGAAAAUGGGCCUGGGGCAGGUUCAGGGAAGCUUUCUCAGGUAGACGGGACCUGGUGAGGAGCUGCGAGCGGGGCCGAGAGCGCCGCCUGGCCCCCCCUCGUCCGCGUCGGGCCCGGCAGUAAACGCCUCAGAUCCACGUCAGAGGAACGGUUGGCGUCCAGAACGCGCUGGGGGGCCAGGUGCUCUCAGCCUCCCUCUGAAGGUCCCCCCUGCUUCCUGGGCCACACACUCCAGUGGUCAAGCGUGUGCAGGCUUGAAGGGCCCCCCGCCAUCCACUGGACAUGGGACUCGCUGCGGGUCCAGGCCCUGCGGCCAAGGCGCCCGGGGGCUCGCAGCUCCGGGUCGGCGCCCAGACCAGCGGUGCGAGGUUCAGGGGCCAGAGAAGCAGGGACCUGGGCCCUUGGGGUGCCUGGUGGGCCCCCAGCAGCGGCUCCAACACCCGUGAACUUGUGACUCGGCGGCUCAGGACCAGAAGGGCGGCCCUCAGCAAUGCCGUCCAGGUGCUGACCGCCACGCUGCCCUCAGUCUCUGACGCUGCUUUAAACGUACAUAUGAUGUGCGGUGAACCACGCUCCCGGGCACAGCCGGAGUCUAAAGACGUCCUGAGGGACUCGUUCAGCCCGCGCCUCCUGAGGGUAGAGCCGGGGUCCAGGCGUCCCUCCCGCUUGAUCGGGGUCCAGCGCCUCUCUCAGGGCUGUGGAGCCGGCCAGGAGGGAGGGGGCCUGGGGCUGCCGAAGGCAUAGCCCUGUGGACACGUGUGCCCUGAGCUGGCGUCAGCCCCUCGAGCGUCUCCCAAACGCCGCAGCCUUGAAGGUCACCCGUAGGUGCAGGGCGCAGAAGAUGCGGUCGUGGUCCGUGCUCAGGUGGCCAAGGGACGAGCCCCCCACCCCUAGGCGGCAGAGAGACUGGCACGUCCAGAGUCGGGUGGGACAAGGCUGCGUGGUCCAGCCGGGCCGCGGCUGGCGGUCUCCAGGAAGCACAGGCUGUCCCCCCGGAAGGCGGCCGUAGCCCCGGCCUCUGAGAUCCCACUGACUAAAUCAUCGGCUCCCAAAGCUGGGGGUCCAGCUCACAGGAGGAAGUACGCCUGAGCUGUCAGCCCUGCC